GAGGGGAGUCGAAAUUAACGAGAUAUUGGUCCGGUUCAAUAUGAAAACAAUGUUCAGAAUCUGGAGUUGAGCACUGUUUUUUCAUUGAGCCGUGCCAAUAUCACGUGUCGUUCCUUCCUCCUCCUC
rnacentral:pre_miRNA from 1 species